AAUCAAAAAAUAUGUAUGGACGGACAUUCUCUCGCUGAAGCACACUACACAGUUCUACAGAAUUCCGCCUUGGUGGCUUCGUAUAUGGACGAACACAAGAAUUUUCUACGCUCCAAACACCCGGAGCGGUCUGAUGACUGGAUUACACGUGAACAAACCAGGAGUUUCGCCAGCUGGUUGCAGACACGUACCAUGCAUGACGCCUCUAUUGAAGAUGACAUGUACUCGCUGUCCCAGUUACCAUCUUCGAAUAUAAUGACUUUCAAAGGGUACGAGAUAAAUGGUAAUACAUUUUACACG
rnacentral:rRNA from 1 species